AUGCCCUGUAGGGGGCACUAGACCCACAUUUCUCCUGUGUUGGUACGAGAAGAAGAGUAAAGAAGGGAGAAGAAAAAGAAAUGGCAGACUAUGUGGAUUAAGCUCAUUUCAGCAGAAGUAGAGAAGUUACUACUCAUAAGUGCUGCUGUGAUACGAAAGAAAUCUGUUUAUUUUGAACUGGAUAAUGUGUAUUCUGUUCUGAGAGUUCUCCGGUUGGUUUUUUGUUUUGGACGACCGAUACCUGAACGAGCCAGUGGUUCCAGAAGCAGGAGGGUUCCGCCGCCAUCUUUGUGACUCGGACUGAAGCCUGGAAAGACGGAGGGCCUGGUGCUGCUGGAGCUGGAUAUUUUGCUUGGACAACAGUACGACUUGGCCCGUCAGAAGUGGCUGUCCGCCAGGACUCCUCUCAGCUCACCUCCCUGAAGAUUCCUGGCUCUACAGAAACAGGAAAGGGCGUCUGGAAAUUGGAUGAGAUGUUCGUUUAGCGGGCAGCUGGUCUGGGGCCGAUAUGAAUUGCGUUUCCCCACGCCAGAAAAGGUCAAGCCCCCUCGCCUUGACAGAGUGCAUCAGCCUAUUGAGUGGCGCUUUAGUCCAUUUACCAGCAACCAAUGGCACGACGGCGCAUGGGAGAGAGUGAGGCACAAAAACUCUGUGUAGUAAAGAGAAAAGAAUGACAACACGUCAGAUAUAAAUUCAUUGUUUCUCAUCACCCAGCUGGGGCAGGAAUGGCUGGGAGUGAUUGCUGGGAUGGGGGGAGUGGGAGAGGAAUACUGCCAUCUGAGUGGGCUUUGCAUGUGUGAGAAAAGAGAUGAGCACCUCUCCUUUACCAGCAGUGAUACAACAUUUGACUUUGGUGCAAAUGUUUAAAACUAAAACACAAUAAAUUGCGGUAAUUGUGGGAAUUUGGUUAAAAGAAUUACACAGUAGAGCCGUUUUACUCUAAUUUAUCAAGUAACAGAGUGGUUCUCAAACCAUAACGGUUUUAAAACUUUACCCCCUUUAUUGACACCUAUAACCAUAGAAAAAUCAUAAAAAAAAAUAAAAGAGGUGUAUGUGAAGUAGUGCAGUCAGUGUCAAUAAAGUUGAUAAGAAAUCCAUUAGCAGACAGUUCAGUGUUCUUCCUGGUGGAUUUUAUUUUUUGACAUUUUGGUUUUAUGAUAUUGUCAAUCUCCCAGAAGCCAAAAUCUUACUGGUUUUAAACAGAAUUGGAAAGACACUGGCAUUUCAUUAGUGUGUACCAUUAGAAAAUAAGUCAAACCAAAUAACAAAAUCUUAACAAAGAAACAGCAAUAAGGUUAUUAAUCUAAUUCACAACCUCAUUUACACACCAAAAUGCUGCAAGUAAAAACAUUUAAUGCAAGGCAACUGAACAAAUUACUUUAAAAAGAAUAAAGAAUGCAAUACAAAAAGAAAACCCUUCACUUGGUUCUGCCCAGUGAUGCAAUCAGUGACAUCAGGCGCCAAUUUAAAUAGGAAAUGCUGGCCCGUCCCCCACACCUGUUCUGGAUUUGUAAUCUAAAGGGAUGAACAAUGUUGAGUAUCAAAGAAACAAACAAAAGGAAUUUGCCAAAAAUGUACGUUGGAACAGAAGAAAUAUUCAAAUGGAUCAAUGGUUCAGAAGUGUUCGCUUUAAAAAGAAAGAAACAUGCAUUGAUGUAAAGUGCAACAUAAUAUACCACAAACAAAUCUGGGAUAGUUAGUAAAGUGAAGUUAAAACAGCAAUGUUUAAACUAAAGCAACAUGAUCAACUAGAGGAAGAUGAUAUAAAAAAUAAAACAUGUUUAAGGGACAAGUGGUGAAUAAAUACUAACUUAACCACUUUGUCACUGCAAAAGCCUGCUUUGUUGCUUAAAUAUGCACCCUUAAGACUUCUAUUAAUAAUCUGCUUUCUACUUUUGAUUUAACUUCAACACCUAGUCUUUAUUAUACACAUCUAACAUUGAUUAUAGUGUAUCUGAUUAACCUAAUUCAGCUGUCUUAGGGGAAAUGAAAUCAGCUCAUUUGCAGUAGAUCUUUUUGCUAAAGCCAUACAUCGAGGAGAAGCUUUAAAGGGUCUAAUCGUGCAGGUUUAUGAACCAGGAGGAGAGUUUCAAUGUGUACACCAUACACAAACGAUGGGACAGGCUGCACAAUAUCAGAAAAUCAUGUAAUGGCGGCAUCAUGAGAAAAUAAAGCGAUGAUCUCAGUUGCA